rnacentral:sRNA from 2 species
UUUCCUUGAUCGCUGAAUUCUGUAUCCAGAAGCGGGGGAACCAACGGGAGGAAGGGAACUUCGUCCCAGGGGUGAAUCACUUGAUUAUGUUCGCAGGUCGAGUGUAGGGGUACUUUCAAUCCCGAAUCCGUCAGCUAACCUCGUAGGCGUUAUGAAAGAAGGA